rnacentral:rRNA from 1 species
UCGGUGACAGGUGGUGCAUGGUUGUCGUCAGCUCGUGUCGUGAGAUGUUGGGUUAAGUCCCGCAACCGAGCCGCAACCCCUAUUGUUAGUUUGCCAUCAUUCAGUUGGGCACUCUAGCGAGACUGCCGGUAAUAACCGGAGGAAGUGGGAUGACGUCAAUCAUCAUGCCCCUUAUGACCUGGGCUACACACGUGCUACAAUGGUUGGUACAACGAGUUGCGAGUCGGUGACGGCGAGCUAAUCUCUUAAAGCCAAUCUCAGUUCGGAUUGUAGGCUGCAACUCGCCUACAUGAAGUCGGAAUCGCUAGUAAUCGCGGAUCAGCACGCCGCGGUGAAUACGUUCCCGGGCCUU